rnacentral:rRNA from 1 species
AUUGAACGCUGGCGGCAGGCCUAACACAUGCAAGUCGAGCGAAGCGGCGGACGGGUAAGUAAUGCAUAGGAAUCUGCCUGGUAGUGGGAGAUGACGUCCGGAACCGGGAGCUAAUCCCGCAUACUACAAGAUGAGACUAGGGCGGAUGAGCUAGUUGGGGGGGUACAGGACUACCAAGGCGACGAUCCGGACCUGGUCUGAGAGGAUGAUCAGUCACACGGGAAAGGAGACACGGUCCAGACUCCGACGGGAGGCAGCAGUGGGGAAUAUUGGACAAUGGGCGAAAGCCUGAUCCAGCCAUGCCGCGUGUGUGAAGAAGGUCUUCGGAUUGUAAAGCACUGUUAGUUGGGAGGCGUUACCAACAGAAUAAGCACCGGCUAACUUCGUGCCAGCCGACGCGGUAAUUC